CUUGACUUCCAUAAGAGGUCCAGCCUGCCCAGUGAUACUAUUAAACGGCCGCGGUACCCUGACCGUGCGAAGGUAGCAUAAUAACUUGUUCUUUAAAUGGGGACUAGCAUGAACGGCAUCACGAGGGUCUCACUGUCUCCUUUUUCUAAUCAGUGAAACUGAUCCCCCCGUGAAGAAGCGGGGAUAAAAAUAUAAGACGAGAAGACCCCAUGGAGCUUUAAACCCAAUAGACACCUCUGACUAAUCUAACCCAAAACACUUCUUAAGUUCUGUCUAUUGGUUUUAGGUUGGGGUGACCACGGAGUACAAUAAAUCCUCCAUGACGUACGGGACUUCCCUCUUAUCCUUGAACCACAUUUCUAAGAAUCAACAAAUUGACGUUUGAUGAUCCAAUAUAUUGAUCAACGGACCA
rnacentral:rRNA from 1 species